AUGUAUAUGCGUACACUCAGGUUCUGAGCGCGUCGUCCGCGCCCACCUGACAGCUGCUCGCUACGUUUUGUUAGCC
rnacentral:sRNA from 1 species